CGUGUAGGCGGCCACUUAAGUCCUGCGUGAAAUCCUGCGGCUCAACCGCAGGCGGUCGUGGGAAACUGGGUGGCUAGAGUGCGGGAGAGGAGAGUGGAAUUCCUGGUGUAGCGGUGGAAUGCGCAGAUAUCAGGAAGAACACCCGUGGCGAAGGCGGCUCUCUGGAACGCAACUGACGCUGAGACGCGAAAGCGUGGGGAGCAAC
rnacentral:rRNA from 1 species